UGGGGGAUUUUGCACAAUGGGCGCAAGCCUGAUGCAGCGACGCCGCGUGAGGGAUGAAGGCCUUCGGGUUGUAAACCUCUUUCGCUGGGUUGAAAGGCCAUGCUUUGGGUGUGGUUGAUUUGAACUGGUAAAGAAGUACCGGCUAACUACGUGCCAGCAGCCGCGGUAAUACGUAGGGUACUAGCGUUGUCCGGCUUUAUUGGGCGUAAAGGGCUUGUAGGUGGUUUGUCGCGUCUGUCGUGAAAUCCUGUGGCUUAACCAUGGGCUUGCGGGUGGUACGGGCAGGCUUGAGUGCGGUAGGGGAGACUGGAAUUACUGGUGUAGCGGUGGAAUGCGCAGAUAUCAGGAGGAACACCGGUGGCGAAGGCGGGUCUCUGGGCCGUUACUGACACUGAGGAGCGAAAGCGUGGGGAGCGAACAGA
rnacentral:rRNA from 1 species